GGGAAUGUCACCGUUCCCACGGUAGCUCCAGUAGGAAGGCUACUGUGAACUUUGCGCUGUCAUAGACCUCCUGUCAGCAUCAGGCUGUUGCCAGCUCCUGCUAAGACAAAUACAGCCAAGUCCAGCAUGUACGCAGCACUGGAUGGACCAUGAAUAAUUUCAUACCCAUAGAUAGUGGCAAUAGUGUGAUCUUUAAGAAUUAACAUAUAUAGAGAGUAAGUGACAAUAACAGCCCCCCUUUUUCCUCCCCAGUAAGUCAUUCAGAGAGCAAGUCUGCUGAGAGCAGAUGCCAAGACAGUUGUCUUUGCUCCUCCAGGGCUGCCACAGAGUCAGAGCCGAGUCCCUAAGCCUAAUUAGAUGUCUCCCCAUACAAGGCUUAAACAAGCACAUGGGGAAGCCAGGUCUCUGAUGAGGAAAGAAAGAUAACACAGGCUGUAUCAGGGUCAUGUGGACAGGCAUUGGUCGCAGGUACAGAUGACUCAUUGUUAGUCUGAGAUGCUGAAAGAAAUGGAAAUGAUUCCCCCACUUCCCAACCUCCAGUCCUACAUUCAGUGUCUGUUGUCAUUGGUUUGGGUCUGUCUGAUGGCUUAUCUCAUCAGAGAGGAAUCUGAGAGUCUCUAAUAAGGAAGGUGGCAAAUGUCAAGUGUUAGGCGUGCAUGUUUGAAGCUAGGGUCAUUGUUUUUUUUAAGUUAUUUAUUUCUCUUGGCUGCAACCAACCCCACUAAAUCUCUAUUCCUCCUCUAAACCCCUAAUCAUCGACUGGGUGCGGUGGCUCACACCUGUAAUCCCAGCACUUUGGGAGGCCGAGGCGAAUGGAUCACCUGAGGUCAGGAGUUCAAGACCAGCCUGGGCAACAUGGUAAACCCCAUCUCUACUAAACACAAAAAUUAGCUAGGUGCAGUGGCGUGUGUCUGUAAUCCCAGCUAUUCGGGAGGCUGUGGAAGGAGAAUUGCUUGAGCCUGUGAGGCAGAGAUUGCAGUGAGUCGAUAUUGUGCCACUGCACUCCAGCCUGGGUG
rnacentral:lncRNA from 1 species